rnacentral:rRNA from 1 species
AUUGAACGCUGGCGGCAGGCCUAACACAUGCAAGUCGAGCGAGCGGCGGACGGGUGAGUAAUGCCUGGGAAUUGCCCAGUCGAGGGGGAUAACAGUUGGAAACGACUGCUAAUACCGCAUACGAUUGGAUUGCCCAGGUGGGAUUAGCUAGUUGGUGAGGUAAUGGCGCACCAAGGCGACGAUCCCUAGCUGGUCUGAGAGGAAGGGAAGACACACGGGAACUGAGUGACGGUCCAGAGGCUUACGGGAGGCAGCAGUGGGGAAUAGGGCACAAUGGGGGAAACCCUGAUGCAGCCAUGCCGCGUGUGGGAAGAAGGCCUUCGGGUUGUAAAGCAGUUUCAGCGAGGAGGCUUGACUCGAAGAAGAAGCACCGGCUAACUCCGUGCCAGCCGCAGCGGGAAUUC